rnacentral:rRNA from 1 species
UGGGGAAUAUUGCACAAUGGGCGAAAGCCUGAUGCAGCAACGCCGCGUGAGUGAUGAAGGUCUUCGGAUUGUAAAGCUCUGUCUUUUGGGACGAUAAUGACGGUACCAAAGGAGGAAGCCACGGCUAACUACGUGCCAGCAGCCGCGGUAAUACGUAGGUGGCGAGCGUUGUCCGGAUUUACUGGGCGUAAAGGGUGCGUAGGCGGAUGUUUAAGUGAGAUGUGAAAUACCCGGGCUUAACUUGGGUGCUGCAUUUCAAACUGGAUAUCUAGAGUGCAGGAGAGGAGAAUGGAAUUCCUAGUGUAGCGGUGAAAUGCGUAGAGAUUAGGAAGAACACCAGUGGCGAAGGCGAUUCUCUGGACUGUGACUGACGCUGAGGCACGAAAGCGUGGGUAGCAAACAGGAUUAGAUACCCUGGUAGUCCACGCCGUAAACGAUGAGUACUAGGUGUAGGAGGUAUCGACCCCUUCUGUGCCGCAGUAAACACAUUAAGUACUCCGCCUGGGAAGUACGAUCGCAAGAUUAAA